UAAAGGCAGCGCAGAGUGCCCUAAAACCCUUCCUUGAGGCAGGAAGAAUGCUAGGAAGGGGGUACUAUGCAAGUGAAGCUUUAGGCUCUGAUGCAGUAAGUUAGAAGCACUGAGGAUGUUUCCAGAUGUUGCUGUACCCCCAGUGAAUCUGUGGGGUUUAGGAGGUGCUGUGGUGGUCCUGCAUGGCCUUUCUGCUCUCAUGAGCCAGGAAAUGGGAUUUUUGCUGCCAGGUAAAUCUGCAUUUUACAAGAAAGAUCACCAGCAGGAUAGAUGUCUCUGAUACGCAUCAAGGGCUCUGAAAUUGUUCCUCUCAACUGAAGGUGACAAAGAAUGUAGGAAAGAAUUCAGUCUGCUUUUCUGCCCGUCCCAGAAUGCUGAUUUCUUUCUUUAGCUGAACUUCUUGAAGAACAAGCUAUUAAAACUCCUUAAGUUGAGGCUCGAUGCCCAUUCAGCUGGCUUCCCUGUGUGCCUCCGUACCUGCUCACCCAGGAGCAUGCUGUGAUCUGCUUUUGUACGGGGAUGCAGCCAACACACACAGAGGAGGGGGGAUUGCUGGAAUUCAUAGAAAGAAAAAAAGAUUAGCAAAAUGUCUCGUGUUGGAAAGCUGCCCCCUGAGUCAAACACCAUAUCCGUGGUUGGAUGAGGUGUAACCCUCCCAGGAGGCUGGCGCUGGGCUGCAGGGCCAAGCUGGGCUCUGCCUCCCGCUUACUGUGAAUAAAA